AGAACGAACGCUGGCGGCAGGCCUCAAACAUGCAAGUCUAGGGGGUGUAGCAAUACAUCACCGGCGGACGGGUGCGUAACGCGUGGGAAUAUACCUAUUGGUUCGGAACAACUGAGGGAAACUUCAGCUAAUACCGAAUAAGUCCUUACGGAGAAAGAUUUAUCGCCAAUAGAUUAGCCCGCGUUCGAUUAGCUAGUUGGUGGGGUAACGCCCACCAAGGCGACGAUCGAUAGCUGUUCUGAGAGGAAGAUCAGCCACACUGGGACUGAGACACGGCCCAGACUCCUACGGGAGGCAGCAGUUGGGAAUCUUGGACAAUGGGGAAACCCUGAUCCAGCCAUGCCGCGUGAGUGAUGAAGGCCUUGGGUUGUAAAACUCUUUCGCGCACGACGAUAAUGACGGUAGUGCGAGAAGAAGCUCGGCUAACUUCGCGCCAGCAGCCGC
rnacentral:rRNA from 1 species